UCUCUGGUGGUCCAGUGGUUAGGACUCUGUGCUUUCAUUGCAGCGGCAAGGGUUUGAUCCCUGAUUGGGGAA
rnacentral:tRNA from 1 species